UACGUAGGGACCAAGCGUUGUCCGGAAUCAUUGGGCGUAAAGAGCGUGUAGGCGGCUUGUUAAGUCUUGCGUGAAAUCUCGGGGCUCAACCCCGAGCGGUCGUGAGAAACUGGCAGGCUAGAGUGCGGGAGAGGAGAGUGGAAUUCCUGGUGUAGCGGUGAAAUGCGCAGAUAUCAGGAGGAACACCGAUGGCGAAGGCAGGUCUCUGGGCAUUAACUGACGCUGAGGAGCAAAAGCAUGGGGAGCGAACAGG
rnacentral:rRNA from 1 species